AUGGUAGACAGAAUCGCGAUCCAACUCGUAGGAUCGGAUGAGUCUGCGAUCUUGCAGCACUCUUCCGUGCCGGAAUAUGGCCGGAAUCGGUUUUUAGUGGGCACGGCCAGGAUCGCCGCUAUUACACGUGGAAUCGCUGGAAUCGGUGCUUCUGGACGUUUCUGUCAGAUCCCCAAGAAUUCGGGUUCGCGGGUCGGGUCUGCAACCCGGUUCAGAAGAAACCCAACAAAAAAAAAUUCAGUUCUUUUUUUUUCUUCUUAA